GCUCAUCUCAUUUGGGCAGCCAAACAAAUUUUGGGCAGCUGAGAUGUGGAUUCAAAAUUUGAAUCCCUCACUCAUCCCAAUCCCAAGACACUUAUCAUACGCAUACUCUUCACAUGCUUUUCUGUUCCUAUUCUUUCUUCUCCCAGAGAAACCCUAAAACACAAAUGAAGUCAGAUUUUGUAGAUUCCAAUUACUUCUCAUUCUCAACAAAAUCGACUUCUCAUUUUUAUCAAAAUCACCCCGGAAUUAUUCAACGAUUUGGAUGAACAAAGAUCCAUCCAACUCACAUCCAAGUUCCGAAAACUCAAGAUCUAGGAUUUAAUUUCAUGUCUGGAUUAAACUGAUUAGGAUGACAGAUCUACAGUUCGUGAUUGCACUUGGUUGAGGGUUUCGAACAGUGCGUGGUUAUGGCGUCUGCAGAUGCUGAGCUGGAGCGACUGCUUAAGGAGACAGGGAAACAGUUAUCGCUUCCUCAUGAUUAUGUUGAUGAACUUCUUCAUGUUCUUGAUUUUUCUUAGUUACAGCCGGAGAACUUUCGUGGAAGAGAAUGGUUGAAUAAGCUGGCGAUGAUGAAGACAGUUCAGAAGGGCACCGUGAAUCUGUGAGUUAAUACACCUCUCGAAAUCUUCAGUUUGAGUGGAUUCGCUCAGAUGUUAUUCUAGGGUUUCUAUGUGGAGAAGAAACGCGUGAUUGGUGGUUGGAUCUCAUAAAAGGAAUGAGUUGUUGACAAUAAGACAUGAAUCUGAUGGAAAGGUAUGUGUUUCUGUUUUUCACUAAUACCCUUUUUUGAUUUAGAACUUGAUUUUCAGUGAUGCUUAUCUAGAUCUAAGUCUGUUAUUAGUGUGCGGAAGUUAGAAUUACAACAGUUGGGUUCUUUUUUUAACCUAUUGAUCUGAUUCAAGUGGGUGGUGAUAAAGAAUUUUUUUUUUACUUUUUUUUAUUUUGGUCAAAUUAUGGGUAUGGGAGAAUUGAGCUUAAGAUGAUUGAAAACAAGAUAAACAGGCAAGUGACUUUCGCAAAAAGAAGACAUGGACUGCUGAAGAAAGCAUAUGAACUCUCUGUACUUUGUGAUGUUGAGGUGGCUCUUAUUAUCUUCUCCAACCGUGGGAAGCUUUAUGAGUUCUGCAGCACCUCCAAGUACACUUUUUUACUAUGUGUUUGUGUGUGCUUUUGUAGAUCUGAGAUGGGUUUUGUGUUUCUUGAUGUAUAGAUAUAUAAUCAUGUGGUUAUUUGUUAGUUUAGUGUGGUUUGUGUAGAAGAAGAUUCUCAAGUUGGAAUGUCGUUGUUAGGAUCACACUGGUUGAAUCUGAAGGUUCCGGAGCCUGCUCAGGCGUUGCAGAAUCUGCCGGUGCAUCUACGGGCAGAUAUAAGUAUGGAAGCCAUGAAUCAAGUCAAAAGGAGAAAAACGAUGUUCAGAAGGUGGAUAUCUGAUUUAAAUAUUGUGAUAUACCUUCAGUGAAAAGACUUAAGGUUCAGGCGCGUCCUCGAGCUAUCAUUGGUGGACAAACAGUUGUAUCUAAUCACUAUCCGCUCUAUUCGGGCAGGCUGCACCUCAAGAGAUUUGUAAAAAACGUUCUUGAUUUGGGCCCAAACCAACAACCAACCAAAUUAGACCAGUUGAAUGUGACUGAUUUGGACAAAAUAAAAUCCAGUAAAAAAAACCUACCUACAAUUUAAAAAAAACAACAAUACAAUUGACUAGAUUUGCUGGGUCAACUGGAUUGGCAAAAGCGGUUUGUUUUGACGUUUCGAUAAAGAUAGUUCAUGAUAUUGUGCAGAUACACGUUCUAAAAAAAUAGAUAUAAAUAAGAAAUUUUGUUUACACGUGUUCCACAUUUUUUGGUCUAAUUUGGUAUUGAUAUCGAUUGUUAAUAGAUAUGUCGAUUUUUUUGGUCUUUUUCGUGCAAAGGGACUCUUUCCACUAUGUUUUCUUUAAACGUGUUACACAUUUUUUAUCCGAAUUUUUUAACCUUUUGUUUGAAAAAGCUAAGAAUGUAUGUCCAUUUAUUGGGUAUGUUGAUAACUCAACAUCUAUGUCAACAACUUAUUACCUUUAUGGUCAUGAUGUUUGUGUUUCCUUAGAUACACCUUUAAAUAUAUCAACCUGACCGCUGUGGCGCUGUGGCGCUGUUCCGCUUUUAAAAUUUCAUCUUAAAUCUUUUACAAAGGUAAUCUUUUCUAAUGAGUGCAGAUCUAUAGUUAUGCCAUUUAUGUUUAGCUGUGAAAUUUUAAAUGGUUUUUUUUCUGUGUUUAACAGCAUCAAGAUUACUAUUUAAAAGGUGGCUUGAUUUGAUUAUUUUUAAAAUGGUUUUUUACUGUGCUUUUAGCACAACUAGAAACUAAGUAAUCACAUAACAAAUUUUAUUAACCACAUGGACCUGCAAUACCGACCCGGUUCCCACCUUACCCGAACCACAGGUACAAACCAGUUUCAGACCUGGCCGAAGAAAAAAGAACCGAACCAGAUCCACCUCCAGUGGCGAAGCUUGAGAUUUCCGACCGGGGGGUCGAAAACGUAUAUACCAAAAAUUUCUAUAAAACCGGGGGGUCAAAAACGUAUAUACCCAAAAAUUUCUAUACGAAAACUACAUACUCUCCACUAACGAGCGAAAAGUUCGGGGGGUCGGCCGCCCCCUCCCGCCUCUACAAAGCUACGCCAUUGUCCACCUCUACCCGGUCAAAACCCGGACCUGAACUGGCCAAAACCCAAAAAAACUGCCAAACUUGUAAAAACUCGAACAUGCCGGAACCUGUUCCUACUCGGAACCAGUACCUACCCGGUACCAAUUCUAAAAAAAAACCUGUUUUGUGCCCCUCUGAUAUUCACCAUUGAGCAUUUGGCCGGUGAAGUGAAACCAGUAGAAUGUGAUCUCGGUGACAGCAUUCCCGGCGGCGCAAGAAAUAUAGACGGUAUGAUGAUUCUCAAGGCAAAGAAGACGUGGAAAGAAUCUAUGCUGAAUAAGAUAGUGCAGCUGACAAAAGAAGGUUCAACAAAGGAAACCAAAGCUUCAAAUGUGGUUGGAUCAGUUUGGUGAGAAUUACAGCAGGGUAUGAUGCAACCAUCAAUGAGAUUGAACUUUUUUGCUUCAAAAAGUAGCCGAGCCAAGCAAUAUACACUGUAUACGCUUCAUACACGCUUCAUACAGUACGGUGGCUGAUGAAUGGAGUAUUGGUUUUAUAGCAUAUAUUCUUUUAUGUGGGACCAGGCCCUUUUGGGCCCGAACUAAGUCCCAGAUUUUUUGGGUUGUUUUAAAAGUCCAUUCAAGUUUUAAUGAAGUACCGUGGCCUACGUUAUCCUUUUGAGUCUAAAGUAUUUUGUUAAAUGUUUAUCAAACAAAUAACCUAGGAAAAGAUUGACGACUACUCAAGCAUUGACUAUGUGACUUCCGAUUUGUUGUAUCGUGCUACUUAAAACCUAGGUUUUGAUUAUUUUGAAAUGAUAAGAAUGAAUUUUGUAAGCCA